UGUACCCGGGAGGAAGAAAUGCUACACAGAGAAGCCAAGAUGAAUCUGAACAGACAGCCUUUGUCAGUUCCACAGAUUCCAUAAAAGUUAACUCCAGAGCAGAGAAUGAUGCCACAGUCGGGAUAACAUCCAAUAUUUGCAAUCAGAAGAAAUAUGAGAGUCUUGCUCCAUCACCCAGGCUGCAGUGCAGUGGCACGAUCUUGGCUCACUGCAAGCUCCACCUCCCGGGUUCACGCCAUUCUCCUGCCUCAGCCUCCCAAGUAGCUGGGACUACAGGCGCCCACCACCACGCCCAGCUAAAUUUUUUUGUAUUUUUAGUAGAGAUGGGGUUUCACUGUGUUAGCCAGGAUGGUCUCGAUUUCCUGACCUCGUGAUCUGCCUGCCUCGGCCUCCCAAAGUGCUGGGAUUACAGGCGUGAGCCACUGUGCCCGGCCGUAAUUAUUCUUUUCGUGUUAAGCAAUGGUAAAAGAACUGACUGAAAAUAAGAAUAUUAAAAAGUUUCUCUGCUAAAAACA
rnacentral:lncRNA from 10 species